UUUACGCGCCCAAACCUAGGGCGCUGCCAUGUUUGUUUUUUGUGUGGGAGGUGGGUAUUUAACUUCCGGUUCCCAUCACUUUGUUGAUAAAAAGCCAACCAAAGAAAACCCAUUCCCUGAACUGUGGUUGGGAUACGACCGCCCUCCCCAGAGAAAGAGACGCAAACUGGAGCGAACCACCGGCUGCCAGAUUGAGCUUGAAUCAGAGGUAACUGACGGGCGGGAGCCGACGCGCGUCAGUGGACGGGGAGAACCGGGAAAGCAGCAGGAGAGGCAGGCAGAGAAACGGAGCGAUCUGACUGAGACUGAAAAGCCCCGGGACUGUCUGCACGUUCAAAGACUCUUGUACUUAAAUAAAAUCUCCCAUCAGUGUC